rnacentral:rRNA from 1 species
UGCGGAGGGAUCAUUACUGAGUGAGGGCUCCGGCCCGACCUCCAACCCUUUUGUCGACCAACACCUGUUGCCUCGGGGGUGGUCCGGCCCCGGCCAUGACGCCGGGACCCGGGUGCCCCCAGAGGACCAUCUCAACUCUGUAUCUGUACGUCGGAGUCUUUGAUGAAAUCAAUCAAAACUUUCAACAACGGAUCUCUUAGUUCUGGCAUCGAUGAAGAACGCAGCGAAAUGCGAUAAGUAAUGUGAAUUGCAGAAUUCAGUGAAUCAUCGAAUCUUUGAACGCACAUUGCGCCCUUUGGCAUUCCGAGGGGCAUGCCUGUUCGAGCGUCAUUACACCACUCAAGCCUGGCUUGGUAUUGGGCGACGGGACCUCCCCGCGCCUCCAUUUCUCCGGCUGGACGACCCGAUUCUCAGCGUUGUGACAAGCAAUUCGCGAGGGGAGAGGGACGGCCGCGCCGUUAAAAACUUCUAUUCUAGGUUGACCUCGGAUCAGGUAGGGAUACCCGCUGAACUUAA